rnacentral:rRNA from 1 species
GAUGAACGCUGGCGGCGUGCUUAACACAUGCAAGUCGAACGGAAAGGCUCCUGCUUGCAGGGGUACUCGAGUGGCGAACGGGUGAGUAACACGUGGGUGAUCUGCCCUGCACUUCGGGAUAAGCCUGGGAAACUGGGUCUAAUACCGGAUAGGACCACAUUUUGGAUGGUGUGGUGGAAAGUUUUUCGGUGUGGGAUGAGCUCGCGGCCUAUCAGCUUGUUGGUGGGGUGAUGGCCUACCAAGGCGUCGACGGGUAGCCGGCCUGAGAGGGUGUACGGCCACAUUGGGACUGAGAUACGGCCCAGACUCCUACGGGAGGCAGCAGUGGGGAAUAUUGCACAAUGGGCGCAAGCCUGAUGCAGCGACGCCGCGUGGGGGAUGACGGCCUUCGGGUUGUAAACUCCUUUCGCUAGGGACGAAGCGCAAGUGACGGUACCUGGAGAAGAAGCACCGGCUAACUACGUG